GACGAACGCUGGCGGCGCGCCUAACACAUGCAAGUCGAACGGAGCUUAAAGAGCUUGCUUUUUAAGCUUAGUGGCGAACGGGUGAGUAACGCGUGAGUAACCUGCCCUAGAGUGGGGGACAACAGUUGGAAACGACUGCUAAUACCGCAUAAGCCCACGGUACCGCAUGGUACUGAGGGAAAAGGAUUUAUUCGCUUUAGGAUGGACUCGCGUCCAAUUAGCUAGUUGGUGAGGUAACGGCCCACCAAGGCGACGAUUGGUAGCCGGACUGAGAGGUUGAACGGCCACAUUGGGACUGAGACACGGCCCAGACUCCUACGGGAGGCAGCAGUGGGGGAUAUUGCACAAUGGGGGAAACCCUGAUGCAGCGACGCCGCGUGGAGGAAGAAGGUUUUCGGAUUGUAAACUCCUGUCGUUAGGGACGAUAAUGACGGUACCUAACAAGAAAGCACCGGCUAACUACGUGCCAGCAGCCGCGGUAAAACGUAGGGUGCAAGCGUUGUCCGGAAUUACUGGGUGUAAAGGGAGCGCAGGCGGGAAGACAAGUUGGACGUGAAAACCAUGGGCUCAACCCAUGAAUUGCUUUCAAAACUGUUUUUCUUGAGUAGUGCAGAGGUAGAUGGAAUUCCCGGUGUAGCGGUGGAAUGCGUAGAUAUCGGGAGGAACACCAGUGGCGAAGGCGGUCUACUGGGCACCAACUGACGCUGAGGCUCGAAAGCAUGGGUAGCAAACAAGAGAGAUACCCUGGUAGUCCAUGCCGUAAA
rnacentral:rRNA from 1 species